UAUCCAUUUCGCCCGGUCUCCCACCUUUCUCUCGCGCGUUUCUCUCUCUCUCUCUUGUGAAGCCUUUCCUCCCUCCCAGACCUCCUCUCCUAGCCUCCCACCUCCCAUCCAGAUCUCGCCGCGCCACGCCGCCCUUUUCCACGUCGUCGGGCAUGGAAGGUCAAUGAAGGGUGUCGACGGACUGCGUCGGCCAUGUCAGUGCCUCAUUGAUCAUGGCGUUGUCAAUGCACCACCCUUCAUCAUCGUUGGGCGUUAUCGCUGGCCUCUCUUCACGUCGUCAAGAUCCAGUGGCGAUGGCGGUGGCGCGGUGGUCUCGGCAGCGACGACGGUGGCGCAGAGUCCUGGCAGCGGGCGGAGCAUGAGUGGCGGCGGCAUGCAACAGUGUGCAGCGGCAGUGGUGCCAGCAGCGGAUUUGUUUUUUGAGAUUUUUGGAUUUUUUUUUGGUUGCUUUGAUGCAUCGGCUCGGUUCAAUUUGAGCCGAGCUGAAUUUUAUUAUUCUUAUUUUUAUUAUUAUUUUUUUCAAUUCGUAUAUCUCAAAGGUGCUGGUUUUGAGUGUUUCUAAUCUGUGCUGCCUUCGUGGUGCCGGUUGGAAAAUUCGGCACCUUUGUGAGGUUCCCAACCGGCACAUAUUGCUUGGGCACAUAUUGCUUGUUGUGUGGCAGUGGUUGAACAACUCAAUGUUUCGAAUUGUAAAUACCUGGAUCGAACUCAAUGUUUUAUAUUUUAGAUAAUGUCUUUUUUUUUA